AUUGAACGCUGGCGGCAUGCUUUACACAUGCGAGUCGAACGGUAACAGGCCUUCGGGUGCUGACGAGUGGCGAACGGGUGAGUAAUGCAUCGGAACGUGCCCAGAGGUGGGGGAUAACGCAGCGAAAGCUGUGCUAAUACCGCAUGUGAUCUGAGGAUGAAAGCGGGGGACCAGGCAGCAAUGUUUGGCCUCGCGCCUUUGGAGCGGCCGAUGUCAGAUUAGGUAGUUGGUGGGGUAAAGGCCUACCAAGCCGACGAUCUGUAGCUGGUCUGAGAGGACGACCAGCCACACUGGGACUGAGACACGGCCCAGACUCCUACGGGAGGCAGCAGUGGGGAAUUUUGGACAAUGGGCGCAAGCCUGAUCCAGCAAUGCCGCGUGCGGGAAGAAGGCCUUCGGGUUGUAAACCGCUUUUGUACGGAACGAAAAGGCUCUGGCUAAUACCUGGGGCUGAUGACGGUACCGAAAGAAUAAGCACCGGCUAACUACGUG
rnacentral:rRNA from 1 species